rnacentral:rRNA from 1 species
UACGUAGGGUGCGAGCGUUUGUCCGGAAUUACUGGGCGUAAAGAGCUCGUAGGUGGUUUGUCGCGUUGUCCGUGAAAACUCACAACUCAAUUGUGGGCGUGCGGGCGAUACGGGCAGACUGGAGUACUGCAGGGGAGACUGGAAUUCCUGGUGUAGCGGUGGAAUGCGCAGAUAUCAGGAGGAACACCGGUGGCGAAGGCGGGUCUCUGGGCUGACACGUGACGUGGAUGACGCGAAAGCCAGGGGAGCGAACGGG